AGGAUGAACGCUGGCGGCGUGCCUAAUACAUGCAAGUCGAGCGGUAAGGCCACUUCGGUGGUACACGAGCGGCGGACGGCUGAGUAACACGUAGGAACGUACCCCAAAGUGAGGCAUAAGCACCAGAAAUGGUGUCUAAUACCGCAUGUGGCCUAACAGGCUAAAGCUCCGGCGCUUUGGGAACGGCCUGCGCAUGAUUAGCUUGUUGGUGAGGUAAAAGCUCACCAAGGCAGUGAUCAUUAGCUGGUCUGAGAGGAUGACCAGCCAGACUGGGACUGAGAACGGCCCAGACUCCUACGGGAGGCAGCAGUAGGGAAUUUUCCACAAUGGGCGAAAGCCUGAUGGAGCAACGCCGCGUGCAGGAUGAAGGCUCUAGGGUCGUAAACUGCUUUUAUCUGUGACGAAUAUGACGGUAGCAGAUGAAUAAGGAUCGGCUAACUCCGUGCCAGCAGCCGCGGU
rnacentral:rRNA from 1 species